GCCAUGCCUCCGAGCAAGCUACAGAGCUCUGAACCGAUGGAGAGCUGACACCCAGCAGCCCCUGUAAAACAGAGGAAUAUAUUAAACAGUUGUAAACUGGAGGACAAGAAAUGAGUAAGAGCCUCGCUGUGAAGAAAGGCUCCUCAAAGUGUCUUGUGAUUGCAGUGUGGACUGAAUGCAAAGUCUCUUUGAGUGAUGAACCUGUUACCAAUGAGGACUCGAGAGGCCAAGUUAGGACACCGAAAGUUUCAGGGUGUCAAGCACAAGAAUCGAUCUACUGAGGAAGCCAGUCAGUCUCUCCCUGCAGUCAGCGAAGAGGGAGGAGAUCUCUCCAAGAUCAGUCAUCCUUAUCCCCAACACGGCUACCUGAAAUAGCCUUGCAGGCCUCAAUCAAAAAAGACACAAGAGAACAGAUGGAUGCAAGUACGCGGGGGAAACAGAAGACAAAACAUUUAUUGAUUUAGUAAGCAUCAGCCACAGUGCACCAGCUGCUCAGGACAAAUGGAACUAGUGAGAACCUUGGCUUGUUCCCAAUUGAAGGAAUGUUUGCACAGUGAAUAUGCAAUUUAUGAAGCAUUUCAACUCAGAAUUUGGCCAGUCCUGUUGCUGCUUGAGAGAAAACUUCCCCUGAUAUCACUGCAGCGUGACUUCUCUGUGCUUUGUACUGAGUUAGAGUAUAAUGAAUGUAUAUUCUGCAUGGUAUGCAAAAGGACCUUGCACACAGACUAAAAAGGUUAAUUUUUCAUGUAUAUUGCAAAAGUCAAAGCAAUAUUACCCUUAAAAAUUCAGGCAAUGGAGUUCCCUAAACCUCUCAGUGUUCAUAUGUACAGCAAGAGGCUCUGAAACAUUUUUAUUUUGCAACACUCGUAAUUCAUUACAACUAUAAUAUGCAUACUCAAAAAAUAAUGUUGAAAGUUUGCUGGUGAUCAGUGCACAGCAGCAGUGCCACACCAGCAUUUGUGUGAACCCGGAAUGCUUGUUUCCUUAUUCUUCUGACAUGUAGUCAAAACCUGAAGAAUGUUAAAUCAUUUAUUUAUGUAUUUUAAGAUGAUAGUUAACUUGUCAAACUUAAAACCAGAAUGUUUCAGUCACCAGAGCUCAUUUCCUCUGCCACACUGUGUGUCAAUCCUACUUUGUCACCAGGACCUGAUCAAAGCCAUGGGGAUCAGAAAGCUUUGUGAGGAACAGUUGUGUCUGGAGGCCAGAGGAAAGGUUGGACCCUAGGUGUGUUAAGUCCUGUAAAUGAGCAUUGCAAGUGAUAGCUCAUCUACUAUGAACCGAAUAAACAAGAUGGACAAAAACUAAUGAUAAUAUCCUCAUGCAGACACAUACAGCUGAGGUACAGUAGUGACUAAAUGACUUCCCACAAGACACAACAGAGCUUGAAACCAAAUUUCAAUAUUCUCAACCUACCUUCUGUCUCCUAAUCACCCUGCCUUGCAGAAGAAUCACUGACUUAUUCCUAUGGUGGUGAUCACAUGUGACACAUUGACAUUUGGGGCCUGACAGGCCAACCUUGCUGAGGACUGGUAUUGCACUGGUGUGCUGAGAGGGAAGGUGGGUUGGGGCUCUGACAGACUGGUUGCUGAUAAAAGAGCUUGGUUUGGAAGCUUCAUGGUAGCUGUGAGGUGAGGAGAAAAGGGAAAGUUUAUAACUGGGGGGAGGGGAGGGUGAAACUCAAUUGAAAAAUAUAAAUUUAUUGCAUAUUUAAAAGCUGGGUAUGCAAGCUGAACUUUCCCUGGGGCUAAUUGCUGUAAUGGCAUGUUAAAUAAAACCUUUCUAAACUUGGCUGUACCACAGGAACACUGUUUAAUAAUGAAGUGCUCAUGGACAAAUUCUCCCAAGUACUAGGCAGAAACAGGCUUUUAUUUAACAUGAAUUGCAGUAUAUGUUCUUUCCUAACUAGGUAUUAUGGCCAUCACAAAUCAGAUCGUUUCUUUUCCUGUUACUCUCAGAGUUGCCUUCUCCUUAUGCUGUCCUGGUUAGCAAUGAAUAAAAAACCUGUUUCUC